GCCACACCUGCAACAUAUGGAAGUUCCCAGGACAGGUGUCAAAUCAAGAGCUGCAGUUGCCAGCCUAUACCACAGCCACAGCAACUCCAGGUCUCAGCCGCAUCUGUGGCCUAUGCUCAUGGCAACACCAGAUCCUUAACCCACUGUGCGAGGCCAGAGAUCAAACCUGCAUCCUCAUGGAUACCAGUCAGGUUCUUAACCUGCUGAGCCAUAAUGGGACCUCCCCUGCCCAACACAUUCUUAUCAAAGAGAGCCCUGCUUGCUCUUCUCAGAAACACAGUUUAAUUCAAUCCUCCUCAAUGCUGGCUCCCCAGAAUGCACACACAUCCUCUACCCUGGGUUGGGAGGACUAGCACCGGUUUGACAGGUUAGUAGAGUCUCACUGAACUGCACUGCCCUCGCCAGAACUGGGUGAAAGGGAAGGUUAAAUGGUUUUUCCAGGUAACCUUCAACCCCUCCUCCCCAACCCAUACACCCAUGUGGCAGGGGACCAACCAGUGGAAACUUGGCCCACUACAUCCAGACACCUUCCUGGGACAGCGAUCGCAGACUCAAAAGGAAGCUCCAGGGCUCAGGGCAAAGGGCAAAUGCUGUCCUAAAGGAGCUGUGAUUCAGACAAAUGGCAGAGCGAGGCAGGGCCCAUCCUCCUUAACCCCCAACCAGCCCUCUUAGAUAGCAAGCCCAGGAAUUCCUGAAUCUCAUCACUCCCUCCCUCACCUCUGGGGAGGAGCCAGGACUGGUGCUUCUGCCCUUGCUCGCCCCUUCCCAAGCCUGCUCCGUGGCUGCGUGGGUCCUGGACUGGGUUCUCCUACCUGCACUAUGGGCACUGGAAGGCUGCCCACCCUGAAGAAGGCUGAUGGAGAGGGGCUGAGCUAGGGUCUAUACAAGUCCUGCCAGUGCCCACCUAGGGAAGGGAGAAGCUGUGCUUCUAGAAGCUUCCAGGUCACAAUCUCUGUGGCUCAAAACACCAGCCAGGCCUUAGCCCAGGCCCAGAGAUGAAAGAUUCAACUUAAAACUCCAGCAUUGAUGCCCACAUCCUCUGUGGGAUGGGGGGACGGGACAAAGAAUGCGAGGGAAGAAGUCAUAACCUAACCCCCCCGCACUGUGACCCUGCAGGAAAGGGGCCCAGGGAGCAGGGUGAUGGGUGCUUUGCUGACAAGGCUGCAGGACUGCAGUCUAUGCAGUCACUGCAUAUGCAGGACCCAGCAGGAAGGACUCCAGGCCGUCAACAACCAGAGAGCAGACACCAGCUCUUCCUGGGCCUACUGGGAUGGGCUUGGCCCAAAGCUCCAACCCCUUAGAACAAGCUCCAGCCCCUGAGAAGGCUGACAGAGCUCCUGGGACGUGAGGGUCUGGAAGCGAUGCUCCAGUUCUGGGAUUCUCCCUCUCCAGCUCCGGGCAAAGUCAGAGGUACAUACUCACUAGAGCCAGCAUCAUACUUGCAGGUACAGGUGAGAACAGGGCCCUCUGCCCUCAGCCCAGGACCUCUUCCCCUGGGGUGGUAUGACCUCUGGCUGGAACUUUUCAAACCUCAUGGCCCCUUUUCAAACCCUGCAGGUAAAAGGUCUGCCAGAGCCUCUGGGACCAGGCAAUGCCAUCAAGUUGACAUCCCAGGCAACAGCCAUGGAGACCUACUUUCUCAGGGUAAAUGUCUCUAACGAGUUCCAACCUACAGCCAGCUCUAAGUGUUGGCCAACAACCCCCCUUUUUCUAUCCACCCUGCCCCCACAUUUCCUUGUCAGGUGACGGUUCUUUUGAUAUUUUGUGGCUUCAUCAGAACACUGGGUAUGAAAUGGGAGUACUGAGCAUGCUGUCAGGCUCCAGGGCCCCAUUCACAUGCCAGACAGGAUGGAGAGGUGGGGCUGUGGGUUGGAAACUCUACAUUGUGGUCAGGCGUUUAUCUCCUCCCUUUAUCAAGACCAGAUGACUUCAAAGUGUUCUUUUGUAUUUUUUUAAACCAGAACAAUCUUUUCCCCCAACGCACUCCAUCAACCAGGCCAGCUUAUCAGUUUCUAUUCUUAUGGCCCAGUGGGAAGAAGGAGCCAGGUGGUGAGGCUUAUACAACUCCUGCCAAGAUCAGAUGCUGGAGAACCAUCAGCCCUUUAUGGCAGCUUGUGGGCUAAGCUGGGGCCUGAGCUCCAUGUCAGGAGAUGGUUCCCAUUAUAAGGCUUACCAAGAAUAAUAAGGUGGCACUGUUAUAGGUAUAGUCAUGGAGGUGCCAGUUUCCUGGGGGACCUCAGGAAGGAGCCAUACUCCCUCACAGCCAAUCGGCAGAGAGGAGGGUGGGACAGGCACUGGGCCAGGAGGUGGCCCAUCUGCUCUGGAGAGGACUCAUAGUGGUAUGGGCCCCAGGGGUCCUUAGACAGGGAGACAGGUCAGGCCAGGCAGCAAGGCAUGCAGAGGUGCACUGGCCCUAGGGGAGUGUACCCCGAAAAUCCUGGAAACAAGCCAGCAACCUGUACUUUGUGAGCCAGGAUGUUUUUAUUCUUCGUGCACCCUAUCUUUAGCUUUCUUUUGUUCCCUUUUAUAUUUAGUAAUGUCUUUUGGAAAGGUCAGCCUGUGGCAGUUAUGCUAAUGAAAACCCAAAGGAGGUGUCUGCAUCCACACCUAGACCAGGAGAUUAAAGGAAGCUAUGUCCCCUCUCUCCCCAGGGAGUGGAAGUAGAGAGAAGCCCAGAAGUGAGCCCCUUGCUCAGCCAGUGUCCUCUGGAGUCAUCUUUCCAAAAGAGAUCUUGGGAGUUACAGUUAGAAGCCCUGAGCUUGUGCCCAGGCUGGUGCCAUGGGGUAACUUCCAGCACCAACCCCACAGGAAGCAUCCCUACCAUUCAGCCCGUCACUACCAUUCAGCUCCAGGAGGCAGAGAGCAGGUAGAUGGUAAACUAGAGAGGCCAGCACACACCUGCUUUCGUUCCUCCCUUGCUUUGCUGAGCCACCUUCCUCGUCACUGAGGACCUGAUGAUACGCUGUGACUGACUCGGGCAGGACCCCUGGCAAGAAAGAACAUCCCCAAGGUUGCUAGGGAGGUAAUCUACUUUACCACCUCAAGAAAGUGACAGUAUCAGCUGCCAUGAAGAAAGCCAAGGCAGCCUUCCCCCUGCCCUGCCCCUCAUGCCCGGGUGAGGGGGGCAAGAGUGGGGGAACAAGGAGCCCUCCAGACCCAUCCUCAAAGAGUGAAUCAUCCGCCUGAAACUGGCCCAAGUUAGCCACUUCCUGCUAAACUGAUAUCCAUCAUGACAUGCAUUACUGUCGGCAAGUUUGGUGAGAUGCGGAGGAGAGGAAGACGCAGAGGGGGUCCAUCACGACCGUUCCCAGGGACAGUAUCUUUUGUCUGGCUUUAUGACAAACCCUGGGGUGACAAGGGGAUGGCCAACAGGAUGGCGCCUGUCUGGGGUUGUGCAGGGGUGACAUGGAGGCCAUGAAGAGGUGGGGCCCAGGGCCUCCUUUCAAGCCCGUUGGGGCAUCCCCACCACAACAUGCAUCUAUGAAUUAAUGUUUUACAGGGAACUCUGGACUAAAGCCACAUGAUCUCGAUUCCCAGACUGGCUCUGCUAUUUGACAGUUACGCGUCUAAGCAAAUCGUACCUCUCUGGGCCUCAGGUGCUCCAUCUGUAAAAUGGGUGUGAUGAUGUCUGCCCUGCUCACCUCAGUCCCCUUUGAGAUGAAAUAUGUGGUGACUAAGCUGUAAAGCUCUAUGUAUUACUGAGUUUCAGCCUCACAGAGAGGAGGGAGGCAGGGACAAGAGGAGACACCAUGGCUAAGCCUGAGGGAAGAGAAGGUCUGACCCAGGCUGGCUGAGUUCUGAGAACACGGCCCCAGACAGAAACAGGUGGACCAGGAAGCCUGUGGGCCAAGCAUGCGGGGCAGACAGAGUGCUCUGGCCAGUCUGAGGUGGCAGACAGUUCAGGAGAGAAGACUGGCUGUCAGCAAAUAUUUGAAGGGCAGGAGGAAAGAUGCAUGAGGUGACGGUCAGAAUGAAAGAGAAAUUCAGUCCCAAUGUCAGAAGAGCUGUGCCUUGCUCACUGAGCACCAAGGAGCAGGGGAGAAGCUCCCAAGCUGCCAGGGCCUCCAGCAUCUUGUUAAUAUACACCUCACACUCACAGGGACAGCCUUUCCUUUCUGACCAGAGGCUCCAGGAGAGUGACACACUCCAGGCAAGAAGCCUGUGUCAGACUGAACUUGAGGUCUCUUCUUGUUAAGGUGGGGGAUCAAAGCCCAGAGCUCUUUCUCCAACACCCCAUUCUUGGCUCUGCCAAGCUGGGUCAAACAUCUAUAUCCUCAGAAACUGGAGGUGAUGGGUGAACUGAGAUCAAAAUCACACUAUCUGUCUGUCAUACAUGAAACUGGCACCACUGACGUGGGUAUUCUCUUCCAAGGGAGAAGCCAGAAGAAUACUACCCUCCCCAGCAGGAAAUACCCCAACAAACCCAGAAAGCACAGCAGCCCUAGAGCUGCCUCCUUAUCCAGGCCCCAGCAGGAAACCAUAUGGAGGUGGGAGCUCCUGCUGUGGCCCAGCAGUAACAAGCCAGACUAGUAUCCACAAGGACAUGGGUGCAAUCCCUGGCCUUGCUCAGUAGGUUUAGGAUCUGGCAUUGCUGUGAGCUGUGGUGAAGGUCACACAUGUGGCUCAGAUCUGGCAUUGCUGUGGCUGUAGUGUAGGCUGGUGGAUGUAGCUCCAAUUCAACCCCUAUCCUGGGAACUUCCACAUGCCUUGGGUGUGGCCCUAAAAAGACAAACAAACAAACAAAAAACAAUACCGAGGAGGCUGAACAUUCAGGAAGCUGAGGUGACAGGGGAGAAGAAGGGAGGGAACAGAGGCAGCACCAGGGCAGAAGUGGUCAGAGUUGGACCAGUGCCACCUGUUUACUGGGACCUGGUUGAACGCGCAUCUCAGACAGAGGCCUGCAUAAAACCAUCUACCACGGAGAGGGCUCCAGGCCACCACGAGAAAGGGAUCAUUUGCCAAAACCUGCCCAUGUCAGCACUUGGCCCUGCAGUCCAGGGGAUGAAUCACAUUUGUGGAUGGGCAGCUGGGACACCGAGGAGCUCCUCCCUAAAAGACNUUUGUCUUUUUGCCAUUUCUAGGGCCACUCCCGAGGCAUAUGGAGCAAAAAGACAAAAAAAAAAAAAAAAGUCAAAAAAAAAAAAAGAAAUAAAAUAUACAAACAGCUCAUACAACUCAACACAAAAACACAAAAAAUUGGCAGAUCCAAACAGACAUUUCCCCAAAGAAGACAUACAGAUGGCCAACAUCAAAAGAUGCUCAGCAUCACUAAUUGUUAGAAAAAUGCAAAUAAAAACUACAAUAAAGAAUUCCCAUUGUGGCUCAGUGGUAACAAACCCAACUAACAUCCAUGAGAAUGUGGGUUCGACCCCUAGUCCAGGAACUUUGGCUUGCAGCAACAUGGAUGCAAAUAGAGAUUAUCAUAUAAAGUGAAGUCAGAAAGAGAAAGAUGAAUACCAUAUGAUAUUACUCAUAUGUUGAAUCUAAAAUAUGGCACAAAAAUAACCUGUCUACAAAAUAGAAACAGACUCAAAAACACAGAGAACAGAUUUGUGGCAGCCAAGGAGAAGGAGGUGCAGGAGAGGGAUGGACAGGAGGUCUGGGGCUAGUAGACUAUUACCUCGUCAAAGGAUAAACAAGGUCCUACUGCACAGCACAGGGAACUAUAUCCAAUCUCUUGGGAUAAACAUAAUGGAAAAGAACAUUAAAGAAAGAAUGCAUAUAUGUGUAUAACUGAGUCACUUUGCUGCACAGCAGAAAUCAGCACAACAAAUAAAUUAAACUAAUUUAAAGCAAAUCAAUCAUACUUUAAUUAAAAAAAAAAAAAGAAUGGAAUGGAAUGGAUGACAACCCCAUCUUCCUUUGAGGAAUUACUUCUUCACAAAUUUCCAUCUCUGUGCCUGGCCAAUCAGAACCCCAAAUGCACCCAGCCACAGUACUUGGUCCAGAGUUGGGCAAGGGCCCUGAUUCUAAGUGAACCCAGGACUCUGAGAAGAUGGAGGCCCGCACUGCUUGGAGACACCUUCACCAUGCAGAAGGGCAGGGUGAGAUGGAUGUUGUUUAAGCCCCUCCUCUUCCCUCAGGUAUGAGUUAACAGACUGGAUUCCCUUCAUUCUUGGGGGGCCUUGUCUAUGUCACGUGGAAGUUCCUGGGCCAGGAAUCAAACCUGCACCAUAGCAGUGACCCAAGCCACUGCAAUGACAAGGCUGGAUCCUUAAUGUGCUGUUUUCAAAACACUUUGAGUUGAAUAUCUGGCUGUUGUAAUUGAAGAAGGCCAACAGAUAAAAUCUUGCACACAUGUAAAACCAUUUUCCAUUUCAUCUUAAAAAGAAUUUUUGAAAGCCACUACAGUACGGCCUGCCAUCUGAUACAGAAGCGUUGCCCUGAACCUGAUCCUAAAACCCCAUCCUUAAUAGGCUGACCCACCUCAGGGGCCCACAAGCCCACAGGAACAGAGGUGAUUCUGAGAUUCCCAGCAGUGACUCAGUUUUGACUAGAACCCACAACCUGCUCCAGCUGGGGACACUGCCCAGAUAUGCAGAUGGUGAGAGAGGCACUGACAUGCAUGGCCUUUCUGGGUGGCCUGGGGUCAGCACCACUCACCACCAGAGUCCUCCUACCACGAACAAGACCCUGCAGGGGAGUGUGCUGCCCGGCUGGGACGUGAACUAGCUGAUGUGGUCAGGGAAAGAGAUGAUGACCCUGGGUGUGGAAUGCAAUAGUCGGGACCCUAGGUUUCACUCCUUGUCUUUCCAAACCUAUUUCUCAACGCAGUGAGUUAUGUUCUGCUUUUCAAAUGAUGCCAGACACUCCCCUCAACUCCAAAGCCAUCUAUCCCAUCUACCCCACUGGAAGCCACCCCUCUGAUGCCAUACCUUAGAGGUAUCUAAACAUAGCUCAAACUCACCCUGCUCCAAGCCAAACUCACAAAUGCUUGAAGCCCCCAAACCUGACCCUCCUUCUGUAUCCUCAGUGUCUGGGAAAGGGACGUCAUGCAUCCAAUCCUGACAC
rnacentral:lncRNA from 1 species